ensembl:lncRNA
AUGGCUGUAUCAUGGGCUCCGUCAUGGCUGUGUCAUGGGCUCCGUCAUGGGCUCCGUCAUGGCUGUAUCAUGGGCUCCGUCAUGGCUGUGUCAUGGGCUUCGUCAUGGCUGUGUCAUGGGCUUCGUCAUGGCUGUGUCAUGGGCUUCGUCAUGGCUGUGUCAUGGGCUACAUGUUUGACUCCCGUCACUCAGGAUUCCAUUGACGUAUCACCCCACUGUCACAACCCCCCCACUGACAUUUCGGCUAACCGGCCCAUUCUGCGCUCCUUGUUUACAUGUUGGCUCGUGGCGGCGCGCUGGUUAGCUGCCUGGCCGGAUGCCGGGCCACUUUUAGGUCAUGUGUCAGUGCAAAGACGUGCGUUGGGAUCUGCUGUCCGGCUCUGCUGCUGCGUGGUCGCCCGGCGGUGCAGAGGAGUAACUCAGCUGUUGGUCCACAAACCCCAAAUUGGGAGUAACUGUUGUGUUGUUUAUGACAAAAGCCCGCUGCUGACACGUAUUAUUUACCUUUGUGAUGUCGAGGAGAUUAAAGACUCCUGUGAACAAAUAGCUGGUUCUAAUUGUGGUGGAGGACACGUAGAGGACUGUAGGUCUGUAAUUGGAGGCUUUUUGGCUCACGUCCUGUUUGAGUAGUGGCAGCGUUUAACUAGAUUUCCUGUUUAGGUUUUGUCUUCCUCACUGGGGUUGAAUGUCAGGCUCAGCGGUCAGCUGUACCUCACCUUCUUUCUUGGGGAACGAAUCAAGGAAAAGUUCUUCAGGGAAAUUCUCGAUGGACCUCAUCCCAUCACAGGACCAGUAACGGAAGCUGCAGCCUCCCGAGGGAUGAAAACACACCGGGUCACGUUUCAACUGUUUAUCUGUUGGUUACUUUAGAAGUCCAACAAAAGUGAAUCAAUGAAUCGUUUGCCAUUUAUGUAAAAAUGAGGGUUCCAGUUUUCUCAAAGUCAUUGAAAAUGAAAGUGAAAUGCCUUCUGUGUUUUGGAGCGUGGCUGGCUUUGUCUUCGACGUUGAACAUUUUGAUGAGCCCUUGGAGAUAAUGCACGUGUGCAUGGAACAACUGUGGGGUAAUUUGUUGUGAUUUCUUUAGCUUUCCGGGCAGACCAGGCACAGGAAGUGCUUCUCAAACCGUUAAAAUCAACAACGAAUUUAGUCUUUGCAAAGAACAACGAUGUCCAUAUUUAUUAGAGCAGGGAAAUGAGAUGCGAUCACAUGGUCAUUUGUUCAUGUUCUAUUCCUAACCCUCGACUUAAAGCCAUUUCUCUGUUUCUCCAGGCUGAGCGAGACUGAUUAUGGGCAAACGUUCAGUCCUGCAGGCAACUGAAUCUCCACCGGCCCUGCGGUGACUCCCGAUCCAAGACCAGCAUCAAACCAGCGGAGACGAAGCACACAGGCUCCAGCAAUGGGAGGACAGAGAUCUCCUGCACCACCUCACCCUAGAUGCCGCCGAGCAGUCGGUCCAACGUCGUCUCGCGGCCGAGAUCCCGCCGCCGCUUGCUAACUGGCCGGCAAAUGUUUGUCCAAACCGUUCGCCUGAAGGAGCUUUGAAAGAAGGAAGACGUUGACUGCGAGCGCUUCACGCGGUCGGGCCUGUGGUCAUGGGGAAGGAACAGGAUCUGCUGGUGGCGGUGAAGACCGGAGAUCUGCUGCUGGCCCACAAGCUCCUCUCCAAAGUCAAGUGCAACAAAACCAGUGAGUACGGCGCUGCCCGGGGUGAAGGGCGUUCAUGGUGGGGUGGGAGUUCCCUCGUUUACAUAGAACUUUUCGUCUGGACGAUCUGCUGAGUGGAAUCAAGCUGCGGAACAACGCAUGCUAAUGUGUUGAGCGCGGGUCCUUUUCCUCAGCGCUUAUCGCCGUGUGCUCCGCGGGCUGUAAGCUGUACAGUAACAUUGUUUGGAGGCGCCGGCGCUCUGCCAAGCGGAGGCCGGAGCGGGCCGUGAAGUCGGAGUCUCUUUGUGGCGUUAUCUGUUCUGGCUUUCAUCGGCACGGCUGGCGGCCCGGUGACGAGCUCGGGGGACAAAGCCGCGGCUGUCAGGGAACAUUUCAAAGUGAUAUUAUCUGCUUCUGUGCGUUGGAAACCAACGAACGGGCUCUGGCAAAAUGAGGCGGGUUGAAAGUGCUCUUUUUUUUUAUGCUGCCACCGAGGUGCCCUUAAGCAAGGCACCCUCAUUCGUUUUGGAUGAGCGGCUCGGUAGCAAUACGAAAAGCCAGCUGUAGACAUAUAGAAAUAUAUACAAAAUAGAUGUUUUAAUCAAUGGAAAAUAAAUAAUACAGAGAUCGUUCUUCUGUAAUGAAGGAACCAGAUUAAUGAUCAAUAUUCAAGCUGCUUUCAGGCCGGACACUGGCAGGAGGGGGGAGGAGUGUGUGUGGGGUGGAGGGGUCCACAUGCAUGUCUGUGCAUCACAUGCAUCCCUCCAGUAGCUGGUGAGAUCGCUCCGUGUGGAUCUAAACACACCUUGUUUUUGUUUUGCACUUUGUCCCAAGAGCAACAGUGUUGCCGUGACGUUUGGUUUACUUUGGACCACGGUCGUCAUGGUUCCCAGAUAAAGAGCGGGGCUUUUUGCGCUCCCACAACCCCCCCCCCCCCCAGUGGUUCCCAAACCGUUUCUCUUGAACCCCCCCCGGUGAUGACAGAGAAACAUUGAAGAUAUCGACUCAAGAUACUUGAUCAUCACGUUGAAUGUUUCAUGGAGACUUUCAUGCUUUUAUGGGAUAAAUCGUAAUAUGCCAGUUUGCUCCGGUCACCCACAGGACAAACCUUACACUUUAUUUCCGCGGUCAGUGAACAACAAUGUUUGUUCCAACACAUUUGUCAUCAUUUGGGAGUGUGUUCUGUGACCUCGGGCGCUCCAGCGUCUCUCUGCAAACAAACCCAACUGGCACACAAGCGAGCGCCUCCGGGGAGGUCGCAGCGGCCGAGCCUCGGGCCGGGCUGCAGCUUCCAUCCCUGUUCAGGAAGCGGGGGCGCAUCUCGGGGGUCUACGAGGUACCAAGCCCGUGGUGGACGGACAAGAACGCAGAGUUGGUCCAGCUGGGUGUGUCGGGCACUUGUGUGUAGAUCCAGCAGAGGAAAUGAUGCUUCCAGUUUGUGCUGCAAACUGCUUCUGUUCUUCUGUCCAGUGUAUCAGAUUAAAACAUUCAUCCCCGUUGGCGCGGCAGCGGCCACGAGGUCCUCUCCGUUUUGUGUUCAUCUCCAGUAAGUGAAGCGUGUCGUGGUUCACUGGCUUUACACACACAUACGUUCACUCAUCCGACGGCCCACUAUGUUGGUCGGUCAAAGGCGCCGUUUCUCCCACACUGAGCGAGGGCCGCAGGAGGAGAGGGGCCCCGAGCCGCCGUGGGGCCAAAGCUCACUUAAGGUCCCAAUAUCUGAUGCUUGAAGUCCGUUCUUCCAAGAUGUAUACGUAUGUAAAAUUGAUCUAGAGUACUGAAAAGUCUCAAUUUAUUUACAGAUUUGCUGAUUUUCGUUGCCUCACAUUAUGGAGCCAUUUCUCUAAAAGGACCUGUCCUCACAAUAAUUAUGCAAAACAAUCGAAUUUCCUGAGUUUACUCUCUGUUCCGACCAAUAAUUGGUAAAGAAACUACUAAUUUGUUCAAAUCCGUGGUUUUCUGGCAACAUGGACCCCCCAUG